GGGUUGUGAGGUUAAGCGACUAAGCGUACACGGUGGAUGCCCUGGCAGUCAGAGGCGAUGAAGGACGUGCUAAUCUGCGAAAAGCGUCGGUAAGGUGAUAUGAACCGUUACAGCCGGCGAUGUCCGAAUGGGGAAACCCAGUGCAAUUCGUUGCACUAUCGUUUGAUGAAUACAUAGUCAAACGAGGCGAACCGGGGGAACUGAAACAUCUAAGUACCCCGAGGAAAAGAAAUCAACCGAGAUUCCCCCAGUAGCGGCGAGCGAACGGGGAGCAGCCCGGAGUCUGAAUCAGCUUGUGUGUUAGUGGAAGCGUCUGGAAAGUCGCAGGGUACAGGGUGAUACUCCCGUACACUAAAACACACAGGUUGUGAACUCGAAGAGUAGGGCGGGACACGUGGUAUCCUGUCUGAAUAUGGGGGGACCAUCCUCCAAGGCUAAAUACUCCUGACUGACCGAUAGUGAACCAGUACCGUGAGGGAAAGGCGAAAAGAACCCCGGCGAGGGGAGUGAAAAAGAACCUGAAACCGUGUACGUACAAGCAGUAGGAGCCCACUAGUUGGGUGACUGCGUACCUUUUGUAUAAUGGGUCAGCGACUUAUAUUCUGUAGCAAGGUUAACCGUAUAGGGGAGCCGCAGGGAAACCGAGUCUUAACUGGGCGUUAAGUUGCAGGGUAUAGACCCGAAACCCGGUGAUCUAGCCAUGGGCAGGUUGAAGGUUGGGUAACACUAACUGGAGGACCGAACCGACUAAUGUUGAAAAAUUAGCGGAUGACUUGUGGCUGGGGGUGAAAGGCCAAUCAAACCGGGAGAUAGCUGGUUCUCCCCGAAAGCUAUUUAGGUAGCGCCUCGUGAAUUCAUCUUCGGGGGUAGAGCACUGUUUCGGCUAGGGGGUCAUCCCGACUUACCAACCCGAUGCAAACUACGAAUACCGAAGAAUGUUAUCACGGGAGACACACGGCGGGUGCUAACGUCCGUCGUGAAGAGGGAAACAACCCAGACCGCCAGCUAAGGUCCCAAAGUCAUGGUUAAGUGGGAAACGAUGUGGGAAGGCCCAGACAGCCAGGAUGUUGGCUUAGAAGCAGCCAUCAUUUAAAGAAAGCGUAAUAGCUCACUGGUCGAGUCGGCCUGCGCGGAAGAUGUAACGGGGCUAAACCAUGCACCGAAGCUGCGGCAGCGACACUAUGUGUUGUUGGGUAGGGGAGCGUUCUGUAAGCCGUUGAAGGUGGCCUGUGAGGGUUGCUGGAGGUAUCAGAAGUGCGAAUGCUGACAUAAGUAACGAUAAUGCGGGUGAAAAACCCGCACGCCGGAAGACCAAGGGUUCCUGUCCAACGUUAAUCGGGGCAGGGUGAGUCGACCCCUAAGGCGAGGCCGAAAGGCGUAGUCGAUGGGAAACAGGUUAAUAUUCCUGUACUCGGUGUUACUGCGAAGGGGGGACGGAGAAGGCUAUGUUGGCCGGGCGACGGUUGUCCCGGUUUAAGCAUGUAGGCGGAUGUUCCAGGUAAAUCCGGAACGUCACUAACGCUGAGGUGUGAUGACGAGGCACUACGGUGCUGAAGUGACAAAUGCCCUGCUUCCAGGAAAAGCCUCUAAGCAUCAGGUAACAUCAAAUCGUACCCCAAACCGACACAGGUGGUCAGGUAGAGAAUACCAAGGCGCUUGAGAGAACUCGGGUGAAGGAACUAGGCAAAAUGGUGCCGUAACUUCGGGAGAAGGCACGCUGAUGGUAGGUGAAGUGACUUGCUCAUGGAGCUGAAAUCAGUCGAAGAUACCAGCUGGCUGCAACUGUUUAUUAAAAACACAGCACUGUGCAAACACGAAAGUGGACGUAUACGGUGUGACGCCUGCCCGGUGCCGGAAGGUUAAUUGAUGGGGUUAUCCGUAAGGAGAAGCUCUUGAUCGAAGCCCCGGUAAACGGCGGCCGUAACUAUAACGGUCCUAAGGUAGCGAAAUUCCUUGUCGGGUAAGUUCCGACCUGCACGAAUGGCGUAAUGAUGGCCAGGCUGUCUCCACCCGAGACUCAGUGAAAUUGAACUCGCUGUGAAGAUGCAGUGUACCCGCGGCAAGACGGAAAGACCCCGUGAACCUUUACUAUAGCUUGACACUGAACACUGGUCCUUGAUGUGUAGGAUAGGUGGGAGGCUUUGAAGUGUGGACGCCAGUCUGCAUGGAGCCAUCCUUGAAAUACCACCCUUUAAUGGCUGGUGUUCUAACGUGGGCCCGUAAUCCGGGUUGCGGACAGUGUCUGGUGGGUAGUUUGACUGGGGCGGUCUCCUCCUAAAGAGUAACGGAGGAGCACGAAGGUCAGCUAAUCCUGGUCGGACAUCAGGAGGUUAGUGCAAUGGCAUAAGCUGGCUUGACUGCGAGCGUGACGGCGCGAGCAGGUGCGAAAGCAGGUCAUAGUGAUCCGGUGGUUCUGAAUGGAAGGGCCAUCGCUCAACGGAUAAAAGGUACUCCGGGGAUAACAGGCUGAUACCGCCCAAGAGUUCAUAUCGACGGCGGUGUUUGGCACCUCGAUGUCGGCUCAUCACAUCCUGGGGCUGAAGUAGGUCCCAAGGGUAUGGCUGUUCGCCAUUUAAAGUGGUACGCGAGCUGGGUUUAGAACGUCGUGAGACAGUUCGGUCCCUAUCUGCCGUGGGCGCUGGAGAAUUGAGGGGGGCUGCUCCUAGUACGAGAGGACCGGAGUGGACGCAUCACUGGUGUUCGGGUUGUCAUGCCAAUGGCAUUGCCCGGUAGCUAAAUGCGGAAGAGAUAAGUGCUGAAAGCAUCUAAGCACGAAACUUGCCCCGAGAUGAGUUCUCCCUGACCCUUUAAGGGUCCUGAAGGAACGUUGAAGACGACGACGUUGAUAGGCCGGGUGUGUAAGCGCAGCGAUGCGUUGAGCUAACCGGUACUAAUGAACCGUGAGGCUUAACCUUACAACGCCGAAG
rnacentral:rRNA from 2 species